rnacentral:rRNA from 1 species
CCUAUGGGGGGCAGCAGUGGGGAAUAUUGGACAAUGGGGGGAACCCUGAUCCAGCCAUGCCGCGUGUGUGAAGAAGGCCCUCGGGUUGUAAAGCACUUUCAGUGAGGAAGAACGCCUGGUGGUUAAUACCCAUCAGGAAAGACAUCACUCACAGAAGAAGCACCGUCUAACUCCGUGCCAGCAGCCGCGGUAAUACGGAGGGUGCGAGCGUUAAUCGGAAUUACUGGGCGUAAAGCGCGCGUAGGUGGCUUGAUAAGCCGGUUGUGAAAGCCCCGGGCUCAACCUGGGAACGGCAUCCGGAACUGUCAAGCUAGAGUGCAGGAGAGGAAGGUAGAAUUCCCGGUGUAGCGGUGAAAUGCGUAGAGAUCGGGAAGAAUACCAGUGGCGAAGGCGGCCUUCUGGACUGACACUGACACUGAGGUGCGAAAGCGUGGGUAGCAAACAGGAUUAGAUACCCUGGUAGUC